UCCGAGUUGACCCCGGCAGUCUCCUGCGAGUCCCCGCCAUUACGCGCUGGCAACACAGGACAAGGGUUGCGCUCGUUGCGGGACUUAACCCAACAUCUCACGACACGAGCUGACGACAGCCAUGCAGCAUCUGUGCAUGAGCUCCGAAGAGCACCUCUGAUCUCUCAAAGGCUUCCCAUGCAUGUCAAGCCCAGGUAAGGUUCUUCGCGUUGCGUCGAAUUAAACCACAUGCUCCGCUGCUUGUGCGGGUCCCCGUCAAUCCCUUUGAGUUUUAGCCUUGCGGCCGUACUCCCCAGGCGGGGCACUUAAUGCGUUAGCGUCGGCACGGGAGGAGUCGACACCUCCCACACCUAGUGCCCAUCGUUUACGGCGUGGACUAC
rnacentral:misc_RNA from 1 species